rnacentral:rRNA from 1 species
GACGAACGCUGGCGGCGUGCUUAACACAUGCAAGUCGAACGGAAAGGCCCUGCUUUUGUGGGGUGCUCGAGUGGCGAACGGGUGAGUAACACGUGAGUAACCUGCCCUUGACUUUGGGAUAACUUCAGGAAACUGGGGCUAAUACCGGAUAGGAGCUCCUGCUGCAUGGUGGGGGUUGGAAAGUUUCGGCGGUUGGGGAUGGACUCGCGGCUUAUCAGCUUGUUGGUGGGGUAGUGGCUUACCAAGGCUUUGACGGGUAGCCGGCCUGAGAGGGUGACCGGGCACAAUGGGACUGAGAUACGGCCCAGACUCCUACGGGAGGCAGCAGGGGGGAAUAUUGCACAAUGGGCGGAAGCCUGAUGCAGAAACGCCGCGUGCGGGAUGACGGCCUUCGGGUUGUAAACCGCUUUCGCCUGUGACGAAGCGUGAGUGACGGUAAUGGGUAAAGAAGCACCGGCUAACUACGUG